UACAGAGGGGGCAAGCGUUGUUCGGAAUUACUGGGCGUAAAGGGCGCGUAGGUGGCCUGUUAAGUCGAACGUGAAAUCCCUGGGCUCAACCCAGGAACUGCGUCCGAUACUGGCAGGCUUGAAUUCGGGAGAGGGAUGCGGAAUUCCAGGUGUAGCGGUGAAAUGCGUAGAUAUCUGGAGGAACACCCGUAGCGAAGGCGGCACUCUGGGCCGAUACUGACACUGAGGAGCGAAAGCGUGGGGAGCGAACAGG
rnacentral:rRNA from 1 species